rnacentral:rRNA from 1 species
AAAGCUCAAAUUUAAAAUCUGGCGGCCUUUGGUCGUCCGAAGUUGUAAUCUAGAGAAGUGGUUACCCCGCGCCCGGACCCGUGUAAUAUAGUCUCCUGGAACGGAGGCGUCAUAGAGGGGUGAGAAAUUCCCGUCUUCGACACGGAUCCCCGGGGCAUUGUGGUGCGCUCUUCAAAGAGUCGAGUUGUUUGGGAAUGCAGCUCAAAAUGGGUUGGUAAAUUCCAUCUAAAGCUAAAUAUUGGCGAGAGACCGAUAGCGAACAAGUACCGUGAGGGAAAGAUGAAAAGAACUUUGGAAAGAGAGUUAAACAGUACGUGAAAUUGCUGAAAGGGAAACGCUUGAAGUCAGUCGCGUCGGCUGGAAAUCAACCUAGCUCUUGCUGGGCGUACUUUCCGGUUGACGGGCCAGCAUCAGUUUUGACCGGUGGAAAAAGUGCGAGGGAAUGUGGCACCUCCGGGUGUGUUAUAGCCCUUGUUCGUAUACAUCGUGUUGGGACUGAGGAACUCAGCACGCCGCAAGGUCGGGUCUUCGGACCACGUUCGUGCUUAGGAUGCUGGCAUAAUGGCUUUAAUCGACCCGUCUUGAAACACGGACCAAGGAGUCUAACAUGCUUGCGAGUGUUUGGGUGGAAAACCCGAGCGCGUAAUGAAAGUGAAAGUUGAGAUCCCUGUCGUGGGGAGCAUCGACGCCCGGACCAGACGUUCUCUGACGGAUCCGCGGUAGAGCACGUAUGUUGGGGACCCGAAAGAUGGUGAACUAUGCCUGAAUAGGGUGAAGCCAGAAGGAAACUCUGGUGGAGGCUCGUAGCGAUUCUGACGUGCAAAUCGAUCGUCGAAAUUUGGGUAUAGGGGGCGAAAGACUAAAUCGAACCCAUCUUAGUAGCUGGGUUCCUGCCCGAAGUUUCCCUUCAGGAUAGCAGAAACUUCAUAUCAGAUUUUAUGUGGUAAGGCGAAUGAUUAGAGGCCUUGGGGUUGAAACACCUUUAACCUAUUUCUCAACUUCAAAUAUGUAGGAACCAUGCCGUACUCUUAUUUGGACCGCUGCGAUUGACUAAAGCUACUAGUG